GAUGGAUGCUGGCGGCGUGCCUAACACAUGCAAGUCGAGCGGCAGCGCGCGGAGUUUACUCUGUGGCGGCGAGCGGCGGACGGCUGAGUAACGCGUGGGAACAUGCCCCAAAGUGAGGAAUAACUGCCCGAAAGGGUGGCUAAUACCGCAUAUGGUCUUCGGAUUAAAGGAUUUAUCCGCUUUGGGAGUGGCCUGCGUACGAUUAGAUUGUUGGUGAGGUAAUGGCUCACCAAGUCGACGAUCGUUAACUGGUCUGAGAGGAUGAUCAGUCAGACUGGAACUGAGACACGGUCCAGACUCCUACGGGAGGCAGCAGUGAGGAAUCUUCCACAAUGGGCGAAAGCCUGAUGGAGCAACGCCGCGUGCAGGAUGAAGGCCUUCGGGUUGUAAACUGCUUUUAUAAGUGAAGAAUAUGACGGUAACUUAUGAAUAAGCACCGGCUAACUACGUGCCAGCCGCCGCGUAA
rnacentral:rRNA from 1 species